AAGGCGGGCCUAGCUGGUGAUGAGAGUCUGACGGAGCACGCCGCGUGAGUGAUGAAGGCUUUCGGGUCGUAAAACUCUGUUGUUAGGGAAGAACAAGUGCUAGUUGAAUAAGCUGGCACCUUGACGGUACCUAACCAGAAAGCCACGGCUAACUACGUGCCAGCAGCCGCGGUAAUACGUAGGUGGCAAGCGUUAUCCGGAAUUAUUGGGCGUAAAGCGCGCGCAGGUGGUUUCUUAAGUCUGAUGUGAAAGCCCACGGCUCAACCGUGGAGGGUCAUUGGAAACUGGGAGACUUGAGUGCAGAAGAGGAAAGUGGAAUUCCAUGUGUAGCGGUGAAAUGCGUAGAGAUAUGGAGGAACACCAGUGGCGAAGGCGACUUUCUGGUCUGUAACUGACACUGAGGCGCGAAAGCGUGGGGAGCAAACAGGAUUAGAUACCCCGGUAGUCAA
rnacentral:rRNA from 2 species